AUGGGGACUUUUGGUGCUGUUUCGGGAGAUAUUAAAGGUGACUUUCUGGCAGCUGCAAAUAACAAAGUUGAGGCUUGCUUGCAUGCCCUCACAGAGGAGACAAUGGCGCUAAAAUUUGGCUUACAUUUAGCACAAACUGUUGGCUGCAACCGGCUGGUCGUCAACUCCGACAAUGUUGAUGUUAUUAGCACCAUGUGCGAAGGAGAUUUCUAUGCAGGUGUGGGAGCUCCUAUCUUUGACGAGUGCUAUCAUAUGUUGACAAACUUUGUUCAUGUCAUAUUCGAGCACUGUCCACGGGAGGAUAACACAGUGGCUCAUGAAUUAGCCCAUAUUGCUAGAUAUGAUAAUCCUAGUAUUUGGUUAGAUGAACCCUCCAGGGUUUAA
rnacentral:rRNA from 1 species